rnacentral:lncRNA from 13 species
UGGGUCAAUGCUAUGACUGAAACCCAAGUAGGUGUCACACACCUCAUGCCUGUCCAUCACUCCACUCAGCAGUCAAUGCAGGAAAAGGCUGGUUUCUGAUGCACCUGGUGUCUGAGAGAAGUUUUGGUUCUUUCAUUUUUCAGUUUUGCCCUGGCCUAGGGCCCAGGCCCUACUCCUGAAGUCAGGCUUGUCCCAGGAGAGGAGACACCAGGGUGGGUGGUUAUCUCAGUGGUUGCUGUGAGCUCCAUCCAGCUCAGGAAGCUUCAUCUUCCAGAUCAUCCAGGAAAGGGAAAGACAUGGCAAUUGGUGUGACUCAUAAACAACCUCUUCAGCACAACCUAGUUGAAUGUGAAGUUGGUUCAUCUGGCCAGAAACCUGCACAGCUUGACCAACAGCCUCAGCUGGGUAUCCUUAUCCUGGCUCUUGGGCUUAUUGCACUGGACCUUUUGGUCCUUGCUGUGGCGGAUGUCAACUCCCAUGUUGGCGCCUCCUGCUUGGCCAGGAACUCAUCUGGAGUGUAUGUGCAGGUCACAGAGGUUACCGUGGUGCAGUCAGUCAGCCUAAAAGACCUUACGGACUUCGGAAGGAAGAGAAAGGGAGAAGGCAGGCCCUGUGUCUACAGCAGCACAACCAAAGGCUCUGAGACAGGAAAGCAUCCCCUGGCUCUGAGAACACGGCUCCUUAUGCACCAGAAAUGAGAACAGAAUGACAAGUGAUGGGUCUUGGGUAUUCCAUGAAGAAUGCAGAGUUUAUUUUGUAGACUGUGGGGAGCCCUGAAAAUUUUUGAGGAGGUAAAUAGCAGGAUAUGACCUGUGUUUUGGAAGCACAGGUUUGGUGACACCAUGAGAGGAUUGGAGGGGGCAAGACUGGAGCAGAAAGGCCAGUUCAGGUGAGAGGGGAUGGGAACAGCUGGGAGUCAAGAGAGGUGAUGGAUGUUGCGAUGAUGGACUCAACAGGUCUUGGUAAAUAAGGGCCAUGCAGAUGGGGUGGGGGUCUAGGAUGAUGCCCAAGCAGCUCAUUAGGAAGUCUUGGGGGCUGAAGGGGCUGUUACAGAGAUUGGAGUCAGGAUUGGGGGAGCAGCAGGCAUGAGCGAGGUGAUAAGUUUGUGUUUGGACACAGUGAGUUGGAGGAGGCCAUGGGCCAUUCAGGCCAUUACCAGCAAGCUGUGUGGGACUCAAUCCCAGUGAUCUGUUGGGGUUAUUUGCUUGGGGUUCCCUGUUCCCCCCUAGAUUGAGGCACUGUUGAAUGGACAUCCCACUCCUGAGUGUUGGUCAUGGAGGCUCUGGGCAGCCCGGGCUGAAUGCUGUGUGACCUAGCUUCCUUGUCUCCCUCACCUCCCAUGCAGUGUACCCCAGUGGGCCCAGGACAGGGGUUCUCUGACAUGUGGGGCUCGGCUGUUACACCUCCUCUGCCACACCCUGGGGUCAGUUUCCCUCUUCGUGGGCGCCAUGGCUCUGCUCCCCCCAGACUUUUUUUUUUUGAGACAGAGUCUCACUCUGUAGCCCAGGCUAGAGUGCAGUGGUGGGAUCUCGGCUCACUGAAACCUCCACCUUCUGGAUUUAAGUGAUUUCUGUGUCUCUACCUCCCACGUAGCUGUAAUUGCAGGCAGGCACCACCAAACCCAGCUAAGUUUUGUAUUUUUAGUAGAGACAGGAUUUCGCCAUGUUGGCCAGCCUGGUCUCAAACUCCUGGCCUCAG